CCUUCGAUAGCUCAGGUUGGUAGAGCGGAGGACUGUAGAUCCUUAGGUCGCUGGUUCAACUCUGGCUCGAAGGA